rnacentral:rRNA from 1 species
UGUGUUUAAUACAUGCAAGUCGAGCGGCCAUUUAUGGCAGCGGCGAACGGGUGAGUAACGCGUUGGGAUCUGCCCCGAACUCAGGGAUAACAUCGAGAAAUCGGUGCUAAUACCGGAUAGUCUCGCAAGAGUAAAGAUUUUCGGUUCGGGAGGAACCUGCGUCCUAUUAGCUAGUUGGUAAGGUAAUGGCUUACCAAGGCGAUGAUGGGUAGCUGGUCUGAGAGGAUGAUCCAGCCACAAUGGGACUGAGACACGGCCCAUACUCC